rnacentral:rRNA from 1 species
GACAGAGGGUGCAACCGUUGUUCGGAAUUACUGGGCGUAAAGCGUGCGCAGGCGGUUCUAUAAGACAGAUGUGAAAUCCCCGGGCUCAACCUGGGAACUGCAUUUGUGACUGUAGAGCUGGAGUGCGGCAGAGGGGGAUGGAAUUCCGCGUGUAGCAGUGAAAUGCGUAGAUAUGCGGAGGAACACCGAUGGCGAAGGCAAUCCCCUGGGCCUGCACUGACGCUCAUGCACGAAAGCGUGGGGAGCAAACAGG